AAAAUUGGUCGAGAUGGUUAUCUUCCUCUGCCUUGUCCUUUUCCCUGGGAUCUCCCACCACACUUGCGGCACCCCACCUGCCGCCAUCCCAUCACCGCUGCAAUCCCUAACCAUCACCAGAGAGGAAUAAACCAAUUCAUACAAUUCUAUUUGCAGACCCGAAGACCGCUGCCGCUGCAGCCCCUGAGAAAAAUGGUCGCUACUCACCUGAACCCCAUAAUUACCACAUUCUCAGAUCUUUGAUCAUAAUUCACCACCUUUCCCGCGAAUCCCAUAACAACCUUUCAAAUCAAAAUCCAUUCACAAUGGACCGAGCAAAAACACUGGCAAAAGCUCUGGUCAAGAACUCAAAUAACCCCACACUCGCAUGGCAGCUCUUCAAGCGUACUCUCUGUAACAACUAUAAUAAUGUAUUGAUAAAUGAUGAUGAUCAUGAUGAUCUCCACUCCUUCCAAUAUUCUCUCCCUCUCAUAACACGCAUUCUUAUUCGCGCCCACAUGUUUACAGAAAUUGACACACUGCACAAUCAUCUCCUCGUCUCUCAACCCCCAAAAACCCCACAUAAUUCUUUAUAUUGCAUUGUCAAAAUGUUGGCAAAGUCCGGUUACAUUGACAAGGCCUUGUCAAAUUUUCAAUCUAUUCGCACGCAUUUCCGGAAUGACCCACCUUCCAUAUCCCUGUACAAUCUUCUUAUUCAAAGUUCUCUUAAACAAAAUUAUUCAGAUUAUAUGUCCUGGUUAUAUAAAGACAUGAUUUUUUCGUCAGUGAAGCUGGAAACUUACAGUUUCAAUCUUUUGAUCAGUGGGCUGUGUGAUUCGGGUAGGUUAGAUGAUGCCCAGAAACUGUUUGAUAAAAUGCGAGACAAAGGUUGUGAACCUAAUGAGUUUAGUUUUGGGAUUUUGAUUCGUGGGUAUUGCAGACAUCGACUUUAUUCUAAAGGAUUGGAGCUUUUGCAUUUGAUGAAGAAAAUGGGUGUUUCUCCUAAUAUGGUGGUGUAUAACACAUUGAUCGCGAGUUUCUGUAAGGAGGGAGAGAAUGAUGAAGCUGAGAGAUUAGUGGAAAGAAUCAAGGAGGAUGGCCUUACUCCAAAUGUUGUCACGUUUAACAUUAGGAUUUCUGCUCUUUGUGACACUGGAAAGAUUUUAGAAGCCUCGAGAAUAUUUAGGGAUAUGCAAAUUGAUGAGUUAGGAUUGCCGAAGCCUAAUGAAGUGACAUAUAAAUUGAUGUUGGAGGGUUUUUGCAGGCAGGGGAUGUUGGAUGAAGCAAAGACUUUAUUUGAGUCUAUGGAAAGAGAUGGUCUUUUUCCAAAUGUGGAGAGCUAUAACAUAUUGCUGUUGGGUUUCGUGAAGAAUGGGAAGCUUUUGGAUGCUCAAUCAGUCCUUAAAGAGAUGAUGGACCAUGGUGUGGAGCCGAACUUAUACUCAUUCAAUACUCUGAUUGAUGGGCUAUGCAAGAAUGAUAUGCUUGCUGAUGCCAGAGCAGUUAUAGGUUUGAUGAUCACGAGCGCAGUUUCCCCUGAUACAGUCACUUAUAGCACUCUGCUUCAUGGGUAUUGCAGAAAAGGAAAGGUAAUUGAUGCCAAUAAUGUUCUACAUGAUAUGAAAAGGGCUGGAUAUUUUCCCAACACUUACACUUGCAAUAUACUGCUGCACAGUAUGUGGAGAGAAGGUAAAAUAGCCGAAGCAGAGAUGUUACUGCAAAAGAUGAAUGAAACAGGGAACGGAUUGGAUCCUGUGAGCUGUAAUAUUGUGAUUGAUGGUCUGUGUAGAAAUGGGAAGGUUGAUAAAGCAGUUGAAAUUGUGAGUGAAAUGUGGACUCAUGGAAGUGCUGCUCUUGGCAACUUGGGAAAUUUAUUUAUUGGUCUAGUGGACAACAACGGGGAAAAAUGCUUACCUGACUUAGUCACUUAUUCAACUGUUAUUAAUGGGUUAUGCAAGGAUGGAAGGCUUGAUGAAGCUAAAACGAAGUUUGUUGAGAUGAUGAGGAGAAACUUGUGUCCUGAUUCAAUUAUUUAUGAUAUUUUUAUACAUAACUUGUGUAAGAGAGGGAAGAUAUCAUCUGCAUUUCAGGUUCUUAGAGACAUGGAGAGAAAAGGUUGCAAAAAGACCUUACAAACUUAUAAUUCACUGAUCCUUGGUUUGGGAAGUAAGAGUCAAAUAUUUGAAAUGUUUGGCUUAAUGAAUGAGAUGAAAGAAAGAGGUGUUUCUCCUGAUGUUUACACUUACAACAAUGUUCUUUGCUGUCUAUGUGAAGGAGGAAGAAGUGAAGAAGCUACUUCUCUUUUAGAUGAGAUGUUGCAAAAUGGGAUAACACCCAACAUAUAUUCCUUUAAAUUGUUAAUAAAAACUUUCUGCAGGACUGGUGAGUUCAGACCAGCACAAGAGGCAUUUGAAAUCGCCCUUAGCUUAUAUGGCCACAAAGAAGUACUUUAUUGUCUAAUGUUCAACGAAUUGCUUGCCGGAGAGGAGAUCUUGGAAGCUAAGCAAUUGUUUGAAUCUGCAUUAGACAAAUGUUUUGAUUUGGGAAGCUUUCAUUAUGGAGAUCUCAUAAAUAGACUGUGUCAGGAAGAAAAUAUAGAAUAUGCUCUUGAAAUCAUCAAGAAAAUGAUGAAGAAAGGAUUGAAGUUUGAUCCUGCAUCAUUCAUACCAGUGAUUGAUUGUUUAGGUCAAAUUGGAAAUAAGCAUGAGGUUGAUGAACUAACAGAGAGGAUGCUGUCAAUGGCUUCCGAAAGUGAGAUGGGAAAUAAGAUUAACCGGCAUCACAGGGAGUUAAUUAGUGGGAAACAAAAUAAAUAUAGUGGAAGUGAGUGGCAAGCCAUUCUGCAGAGAGAUGAUGGCAGUGGGAUAGCCGUGAAAACUCUGAAGCGUGUGCAGAAAGGCUGGGGUCAAGGAAGUUUAUCGUAUUUGCAAGCCAAGAAAAAUGACUUUAUUGAUUAUUGGGAUGCUACUGGCUAAAAUUUCCUAUUAUUCAAGACACCUGCUCAAAGUUUCCCUAAGGUGAGGCAGUUUAAUGGUAACGCUGUUUCAUUUUCAUAGUGGCUGAAGGCAUGAAGCAUGAUUUAUUUUCUCUUCCCUAUGGUUCUGGCAAGCUUUUGAUUUUGAUUCAUUGUGGAGUCUCCUUCAAUCUACAUUAUCAGAGAAAACAAGUUCUGAAACUUUUGUCACGUGUAGACACCUUGGGCACAAGUUUCGCUUUCAUUCCUUUUUCACUCAGUCAAGAGUAGGAAGCUAUCUGAUGUGAUGUAAUGCUCCAGACCAGCCUACAAUUGGUCCUGAAACGUUAAAAAUUUUGGAUAUCCUUGGAAGGCAGAGUGUUGUAGCUUUGACAUAAUGAU